UAAUUUUAGAGUUUGAUCCUGGCUCAGAACAAACGCUGGUGGCGUGCUUAACACAUGCAAGUCGAACGGGAAAACCCUUCGGGGUGAUUAGAGUGGCGAACGGGUGAGUAAUACAUAGGAACAUGCCUACAUGUGGGGAAUAACUGCCGGAAACAGUAGCUAAUACCGCAUAUUUUGAAAAAAGAAAGAUGGCCUCUUCUUGAAAGCUAUCGCGUGUAGAUUGGCCUAUGUCCCAUUAGUUAGUUGGUAAGGUAAUGGCUUACCAAGGCGAUGAUGGGUAGCUGGUCUGAGAGGAUGGUCAGCCACACUGGGACUGAGAUACGGCCCAGACUCCUACGGGAGGCAGCAGUGAGGAAUCUUGCACAAUGGGCGAAAGCCUGAUGCAGCGACGCCACGUGAGUGAAGAAGGCUUUCGGGUCGUAAAGCUCUUUCGGUUGGGAAGAAAUGUUGUUAUGAAAAUAUUGUGACAAUUUGACGGUACCAGCAUAAGAAGCACAGGCUAAUUCCGUGCCAGCAGCCGCGGUAAUACGGGAUGUGCGAGCGUUGUUCGGAAUAACUGGGCGUAAAGGGCACGUAGGUGGGUAAACAAGUCGAUUGUGAAAGCCCCAAGCUUAACUUGGGAAUUGCAGUCGAAACUGUUUGUCUUGAAUGCUUGAGAGGGUGGUGGAAUUCCAGGUGUAGAAGUGAAAUUCGUAGAUAUCUGGAGGAACAUCGGUGGCGAAGGCGGCCACCUGGCAAUGCAUUGACGCUGAGGUGCGAAAGCGUGGGUAGCAAACAGGAUUAGAUACCCUGGUAGUCCACGCUGUAAACGAUGGAUACUAGAUGUCUGGAGUAUUAACCCUCUGGGUGUCGAAGCUAACGUGUUAAGUAUCCCGCCUGGGGAGUACGGUCGCAAGGCUAAAACUCAAAGGAAUUGACGGGGGCCCGCACAAGCGGUGGAGUAUGUGGUUUAAUUCGAAGCAACGCGCAGAACCUUACCUGGGUUUAACAUCCCUUGAUCGUUAUAGAAAUAUAAUUUUCUCUUCGGAGACAAGGUGAUAGGUGCUGCAUGGCUGUCGUCAGCUCGUGUCGUAAGAUGUUGGGUUAAGUCCCGCAACGAGCGCAACCCUUGUCUUUAGUUGCUAACAUUAAGUUGAGGACUCUAAAGAGACUGCCGGUGUUAAACCGGAGGAAGGCGAGGAUGACGUCAAGUCCUCAUGGCCCUUACACCCAGGGCUACACACGUACUACAAUGGCAGAAACAAACUGUUGCGAAAUCGUGAGAUGGAGCUAAUCGGUAAAACACUGUCACAGUUCGGAUUGAAGUCUGCAAUUCGACUUCAUGAAGUUGGAAUCGCUAGUAAUCGCAGAUCAGCACGCUGCGGUGAAUACGUUCCCGGGCCUUGUACACACCGCCCGUCACACCACGAGAGUAGUCAUGACUAGAAGUAGGUGAGCUGACCUUCGGGGGGCAGCCUACCAAGGUUUUGGUUGCGAUUGGGGUGAAGUCGUAACAAGGUAGCCGUAGGGGAACCUGCGGCUGGAUCACCUCCUUU
rfam:Candidatus Thiomargarita nelsonii contig_395, whole genome shotgun sequence.